rnacentral:lncRNA from 1 species
UCAUGAAGCAACAUCUAGUUAAUAGUGAGUUUUCAAUCAAAAAUUAACAUAAAAAUGGUAGUGACUUCACGAGUAUGAACUUUGUAAUAGAUAAUAGAAAUAUAUUCGACAUGUAUAGCAAUCCUCCAAAAUUUUAAUUUGGUCAAAUAAACUUGGUGUAAUGCAUUCGAAUAGAUUAAGUUAUGUGAGUUGAUUUCUCAAUGGAAGUUUCUACAAGAGUCACUCUACGAAAGGUCAUAUUCCUGUUUGCCCACGAACUAAGGCAAGUGAAAUUAAGAACAAUGAUAAACUAGCACUCAUAAUCUCGAGCUCUAACUUCACCUCCACAUCUAAUUAAAAAAGUUGUUUGAUCACUAAUACAGUAAUACAAUUACCUUUUGUUCAUUUCAUUUUUGUGUCGUUUAUAUAUUUACUUUUUAGCUAACCUACAACAUAGUUUGACAAUUGAAUCGGUUUUGUAGACUUAAAUAAUGUUAAAAUAGUAAGGCAAGAAAAAAAAAAUGCUAUGAGAAAAAAACCCAGACUGUCACAUGCCCUCCAUCGAUUCGGCAGGGCGCCAUGAUGGCGAUGUAGUCGGACGGGCCGGUUCUGAGAUCGUCGUUCUUCAACUGUUAUACACUGGGCCAAGUUGCGGUCUAUAGGUUCCUUUUUCUCGACAAGAUGGUGAGGAAGGUCAAAAUCUAUAAUUUCUGAAUCAUAAGUGUAAGGUACUCAAACUAGUUAUAUUCAGCUUUUCAUGUUUCAGUAUUUUCGUAAACCAUUUCGUAAAUACCUUUCGAGUUCAAAUUUAGACAUUUUGCUUUUAUGUCAUUUCAUAUGUUUAAGAAAAAAAAAAUUAAAGGAAAACAUUAAGAUCAAAGACAAUAUACUAGUAAACUGUAACCAAAAAAAAGAAGACAAUACUAGUAAACAACUAAACACAGUGAAAGAUAAAGAAAGGGUAAAAAAAAGAAAAAAGGGACAGUCAAAGAUAAUAAAACGGACAAAGGACCAAAGGUGCAGCGCAAUUAACGGUUUCCGAACGGGCCGGUCACCUUAUUUUCCGUAGUCCGUUACAGUACAACUGCCGUGACUCAUUUUACGGUCUUUUGUCCUCUGCUUCUUAUCAUGACGUGGCACUUUCCACUCUACUCUCCCCACCUCCCACUUUACCCCACGCGCCCAACUGCAUGUGUCUCACACUCUCACUCAAUUUGCACUCCCCACACAGCUCCGCGCGGCGUGUGAGCCUCACCCUCUACUUUUUUCGAGACGGAGAUAAAAAGUGACGAUUUUGGUGUUAGUCGUUUUUUUACUUUUAAAAGGGCGGUACGAUUUUAUCGGGGGAGGCAGGGGAAUCGGAAUCAAAACGCAAGUUGGUUGACAAAAAAAAAAAAAGUGGAGGAUGAAUCCACAAAGUAAGCUCGCAUUUUCGUUUCAAAAGCUUUGUCCACAUCAUGUAGUGUUGGUUAAGUUGCUUGAUUUUUUUUUGCCUGGUAAUAUGCUUUUGUUCUUGUGGUGCAACCUGACAUGGUGCAUCGUCAUCUUGCUAAUUAGGACGUACGGCAAAUAUUCUAAUGUCAUCUCAAAUCCGUAAAUUUAGAAUGAAAUUAUGAAAGUACUACUUCGUACGGAUAGUUACACAAUACGUUCGAUGAAUAUUCAUGAUUUCUUAAAAACUUAGGUUACAACCAAUACUCAGAUAUCAUAAGGUAAUUUCUGAUCAAA